CUACGGGGCGCAGCAGUGAGGAAUAUUGCACAAUGGGGGAAACCCUGAUGCAGCAACGCCGCGUGGAGGAUGACGCAUUUCGGUGUGUAAACUCCUUUUAUCAGAGAAGAAAAUGACGGUAUCUGAUGAAUAAGCUCCGGCUAACUCCGUGCCAGCAGCCGCGGUAAUACGGAGGGAGCAAGCGUUAUUCGGAAUCACUGGGCGUAAAGGACGCGUAGGCGGGUUAUUAAGUCAGGUGUGAAAUCCAAUGGCUCAACCAGUGAACUGCACUUGAAACUGGUAACCUAGAGUAUGGAAGGGGCAGAUGGAAUUAGUGGUGUAGGGGUAAAAUCCGUAGAUAUCACUAGGAAUACCGAAAGCGAAGGCGAUCUGCUGGGACAUUACUGACGCUGAGGCGUGAAAGCGUGGGGAGCAAACAGGAUUAGAUACCCCGGUAGUC
rnacentral:rRNA from 1 species